AUGGAUGUGAAUCUAACGAUCUCUCUAAUGAGGGGACAGAUGGGUGUAGUUAUAGAGAAGGCGGUGAACGCCGCGGUGGAGACCGUGCUGGGCGAGAUGAUCCGAGUGGUCAGCCUGAAAUUCGAGGAGUUUAGGAAGGAGAUGAACGCCAAAGAGAAGGAGAACGAGAACAUCAGGAACAUGCUGGAGGUGUCGCGGUGUCAGAUGAAGACCAUGCGGAGAUAUGUGAACGCGCUGACGGCUCGAGAGGACCGGCAGGCUCUGCUCAGUCACAGACCGGACAGACCCGUGGUGCUUCAGUUCGAGUCGGGCAGGGUCAGGGCUGCUCACCACAGCAGAGACCACCUUAUGCCUCCGAGAAGAGCCCCAGCGACCAGUGUUAACCAUAACCCUCCCCCCUGUGUUGAAGUGCAGAAUACAGUACAGAAUACAGCCGCAAAAUCGGCUCAUGUCGCAGAGAACACAUGGGAGAAGACCGUGCCUGUGUCUCGACCUCAAACCAUGCCUCAACCACUCGUCCAACCCGCCGAGACCUUCAUCAACCCUCCUGAGAACUACAGCGAGGGAGAGACCAGUGCACCAAAGAUGCACAUGGGCUCUCUGAAAGGAGAGAACUCAGCUGCUGCCAUGUUGGAAAGUGAAGGUCUAGUGGCAGAAAGCAAUGAUCCCCUGUGGGGUCAAACACCUCCAGCUACUUCUGAGGUGGAGCACACAGACACUGUGGACUCUGGCAUGCUCCCUGUUACCGACAACAAUGAAGGAUUUAGCACAGCUACAGCGAUCUGUGGAGGGUCUCCGCCUUUCAAAAUUAAACAAGAAGAAGGAGAGGUUGAAAUCGUCCAUGUGAAGGAGGAGCCAGUGGAAGCAGCCAAUUCUGAAUGUGCUCAGCUAGAGCUCUGUCAGCAAGCUGUAGAAGCAGGACCUAGUAUUUCCCUAGAUCUGCCUUUGGCCCAGCAGUGUCACCAGCUCUCUAUGCCUUCUAUUACGGAUCCAGGCUUUCUGGGAGUGGACCCUAGUACAUGUUCCCAUGAAUCAAUGAUGGUUAUGGAGUACUGGAUCAGAAGCCAUGACAAACGACUGAAAAAUGCUGAGCGAACCAGGAGAUACAGAGCGAAAUUAAAUGCAGAUCCUGUUAAGAGGGAAGCCAUGCUGGAGCACAAACGGCAACAGUACCAGGAAAAAAAAGCACACGGAGAGAUAAUGUCCAGUAAAUUUCUUCCCUUGGAAAAGCGGUUAAAACUGCAGCAGAAAUGGGCAGCAGCCAAACGACGGCAACGGCGAAAAACUACAACAGAACAUGUUGGACUAGAGACACUUUAG
rnacentral:lncRNA from 1 species